GAUGAACGCUGGCGGCGUGCCUAAUACAUGCAAGUCGAGCGAACGGACGAGAAGCUUGCUUUUCUGAUGUUAGCGGCGGACGGGUGAGUAACACGUGGAUAACCUACCUAUAAGACUGGGAUAACUUCGGGAAACCGGAGCUAAUACCGGAUAAUAUUUUGAACCGCAUGGUUCAAAAGUGAAAGACGGUCUUGCUGUCACUUAUAGAUGGAUUCGCGCUGCAUUAGCUAGUUGGUAAGGUAACGGCUUACCAAGGCAACGAUGCAUAGCCGACCUGAGAGGGUGAUCGGCCACACUGGAACUGAGACACGGUCCAGACUCCUACGGGAGGCAGCAGUAGGGAAUCUUCCGCAAUGGGCGAAAGCCUGACGGAGCAACGCCGCGUGAGUGAUGAAGGUCUUCGGAUCGUAAAACUCUGUUAUUAGGGAAGAACAUAUGUGUAAGUAACUGUGCACAUCUUGACGGUACCUAAUCAGAAAGCCACGGCUAACUACGUG
rnacentral:rRNA from 1 species